GACGAACGCUGGCGGCGUGCCUAAUACAUGCAAGUCGAGCGGACUGAUUGGGAGCUUGCUCUUGUUCGGUCAGCGGCGGACGGGUGAGUAACACGUGGGCAACCUGCCCGCAAGACCGGGAUAACUCCGGGAAACCGGAGCUAAUACCGGAUAACACCGAGGACCGCAUGGUCCUUGGGUGAAAGGCGGCGCAAGCUGCCACUUGCGGAUGGGCCCGCGGCGCAUUAGCUAGGUGGUGAGGGAACGGCGAACCACGGCGACGAUGCGUAGCCGGCCUGAGAGGGGGCGCUGCCUCACUGGGACGGGGACACGGCCCGGACCCCUAGGGGAGGCAGCCGGACGGGAUCUUCCGCGAUGGGAGAAAGCCUGACGGUGCGACGCCGCGCGAGCGAAGAAGGCCGUCGGGUCGUAAAGGUCAGUUGUGAGGUACGAAGGUGCGCCGUUUUAAGAAGGCGGGGCGGUGACGGUACCUGAAGAGGAAGCCCCGGCUAACUACGUG
rnacentral:rRNA from 1 species